UACGUAGGGUGCAAGCGUUGUCCGGAAUUAUUGGGCGUAAAGAGCUCGUAGGCGGUCUGUCGCGUCUGCUGUGAAAACUCGGGGCUUAACCCCGGGCCUGCAGUGGGUACGGGCAGACUAGAGUGCGGUAGGGGAGACUGGAUUCCUGGUGUAGCGGUGAAAUGCGCAGAUAUCAGGAGGAACACCGGUGGCGAAGGCGGGUCUCUGGGCCGUAACUGACGCUGAGGAGCGAAAGCGUGGGGAGCAAACAGG
rnacentral:rRNA from 1 species